AUUGAACGCUGGCGGCAUGCCUUACACAUGCAAGUCGAACGGUAACAGGUCUUCGGAUGCUGACGAGUGGCGAACGGGUGAGUAAUACAUCGGAACGUGCCUAGUAGUGGGGGAUAACUACUCGAAAGAGUGGCUAAUACCGCAUGAGAUCUACGGAUGAAAGCAGGGGAUCGCAAGACCUUGUGCUACUAGAGCGGCCGAUGGCAGAUUAGGUAGUUGGUGGGAUAAAAGCUUACCAAGCCGACGAUCUGUAGCUGGUCUGAGAGGACGAUCAGCCACACUGGGACUGAGAAACGGCCCAGACUCCUACGGGAGGCAGCAGUGGGGAAUUGUGGACAAUGGGCGCAAGCCUGAUCCAGCAAUGCCGCGUGCAGGAUGAAGGCCUUCUGGUUGUAAACUGCUUUUGUACGGAACGAAAAGCCCUGGGUUAAUACCCUGGGGUCAUGACGGUACCGUAAGAAUAAGCACCGGCUAACUACGUGCCAGCAGCCGCCGUAACAC
rnacentral:rRNA from 1 species